UGAAUACGAGAUGCUACGGCGUCGAAGCAGUCUAUGUCAUACUUCCAAGAAAAGCUCGCACUGUCAUAAACAAAUAAUGCCUGUACCAUAACCGACACAGGUGGGUAGGUAGAGUAUACUAAGGGGCGCGAGAUAACUCUCUCUAAGGAACUCGGCAAAAUGACUCCGUAACUUCGGGAGAAGGAGUGCCUUAUUUAUAAGGUUGCAAUAACAAGAUCCAAGCAACUGUUUAUCAAAAACACAGGUCUCCGCUAAGUCGUAAGACGAUGUAUGGGGGCUGACGCCUGCCCAGUGCCAGAAGGUUAAAGAAGUUGGUUAGCAUUCGCGAAGCUGAUAACUGAAGCCCUGGUGAACGGCGGCCGUAACUAUAACGGUCCUAAGGUAGCGAAAUUCCUUGUCGGGUAAGUUCCGACCCGCACGAAAGGCGUAAUGAUUUGGAUACUGUCUCGGAGAGGGGCUCGGUGAAAUAGACUUGUCUGUGAAGAUGCGGACUACCUGCACCAGGACAGAAAGACCCUAUGAAGCUUUACUGUAACUUGAGAUUGAAAUUGGACUUUACUUGCGCAGUAUAGGUGGGAGGCGUUGAUAAUAUUCUUGCGGGAUUAUUUGAGCCAUCAGUGAGAUACCACUCUUGUAAUGUUAGAUUUCUAACUUUGUAUCAUUAUCUGGUCAAAGGACAGUUUCAGGCGGGCAGUUUGACUGGGGCGGUCGCCUCCUAAACGGUAACGGAGGCGCACAAAGGUUUCCUCUGAACGGGUAGAAAUCGUAUCUAGAGUGUAAAGGCAUAAGGAAGCUUGACUGUGAGACCUACAAGUCGAGCAGGGACGAAAGUCGGUCUUAGUGAUCUGACGGUGCUGAGUGGAAAGGCCGUCACUCAACGGAUAAAAGUUACUCUAGGAUAACAGGCUGAUCUCCCCCAAGAGUUCACAUCGACGGGGAGGUUUGGCACCCCGAUGUCGGCUCAUCGCAUCCUGGGGCGGUAGUACGUCCCAAGGGUUGGGCUGUUCGCCCAUGAAAGCGGUACGCGAGCUGGGUUCAGAACGUCGUGAGACAGUUCGGUCCAUAUCCGGUGUAGGCGUUAGAAUAUUGAGAGGAGCCUUCUUUAGUACGAGAGGACCGAGAAGGACAUACCUCUGGUGUACCAGUUAUCGUGCCAACGGUAAACGCUGGGUAGCUAUGUAUGGAGUGGAUAACCGCUGAAAGCAUCUAAGUGGGAAGCCCACCUCAAGAUAAGUAUUCUC
rnacentral:rRNA from 1 species